ACACCUUCUGCUGGAGACCCACAUAAAAACAUUGGAACAAGGAAGAUUUGCUCUUCUUUGCCUGCUUGCUUUAUGGGACUGAGCAACUGCUAGAUCCUUGGACUUCCAUUCACAGUUG
rnacentral:miRNA from 14 species